UACAGAGGUCUCGAGCGUUAGUCGGAAUCACUGGGCUUAAAGCGUACGUAGGCGGAUCUGUAGGCGUCGUGUGAAAUACCUCGGCUCAACCGAGGAACUGCACGGCGAACCACAGUUCUUGAGACAAGUAGGGGCGGUCGGAACGAUAGGUGGAGUGGUGAAAUGCGUUGAUAUCUAUCGGAACGCCGAAGGUGAAGACAGGCCGCUGGGCUUGUUC
rnacentral:rRNA from 1 species